rnacentral:rRNA from 1 species
AAUAGAUACCCAGGUAGUCCACGCCGUAAACGAUGAGUGCUAAGUGUUAGAGGGUUUCCGCCCUUUAGUGCUGCAGCUAACGCAUUAAGCACUCCGCCUGGGGAGUACGGUCGCAAGACUGAAACUCAAAGGAAUUGACGGGGGCCCGCACAAGCGGUGGAGCAUGUGGUUUAAUUCGAAGCAACGCGAAGAACCUUACCAGGUCUUGACAUCCUCUGACAACUCUAGAGAUAGAGCGUUCCCCUUCGGGGGACAGAGUGACAGGUGGUGCAUGGUUGUCGUCAGCUCGUGUCGUGGGAUGUUGGGUUAAGUCCCGCAACGAGCGCAACCCUUGAUCUUAGUUGCCAGCAUUUAGUUGGGCACUCUAAGGUGACUGCCGGUGACAAACCGGAGGAAGGUGGGGAUGACGUCAAAUCAUCAUGCCCCUUAUGACCUGGGCUACACACGUGCUACAAUGGAUGGUACAAAGGGCUGCAAGACCGCGAGGUCAAGCCAAUCCCAUAAAACCAUUCUCAGUUCGGAUUGUAGG